rnacentral:rRNA from 1 species
CCUACGGGUGGCAGCAGUGAGGAAUAUUGGUCAAUGGGCGGAAGCCUGAACCAGCCAAGUAGCGUGCAGGAUGACGGCCCUACGGGUUGUAAACUGCUUUUAUACGGGAAUAACGCGCCUUACGUGUAUGGCUUUGCAUGUACCGUAUGAAUAAGGACCGGCUAAUUCCGUGCCAGCAGCCGCGGUAAUACGGAAGGUCCGGUCGUUAUCCGGAUUUAUUGGGUUUAAAGGGAGCGUAGUCCGCAGUUCAAUCGUGCUGUGAAAUGUCCGGGCUCAACCCGGGACUUGCAGAGGGAACUGGCGUGCUUGAGUACGCGGAAAGCAGGCGGAAU